rnacentral:rRNA from 1 species
CAGAGGUGGCAAGCGUUGUUCGGAAUUACUGGGCGUAAAGGGCGCGUAGGCGGUCUUGCAAGUCCUGUGUGAAAUCCCUCGGCUCAACUGAGGAACUGCACAGGAAACUGCUUGGCUUGAGUUCGGGAGAGGGAAGCGGAAUUCCGGGUGUAGCGGUGAAAUGCGUAGAUAUCCGGAGGAACACCGGUGGCGAAGGCGGCUUCCUGGACCGACACUGGACGCUGAGGCGCGAAAGCUAGGGGAGCAAACGGGAUUAGAUACCCCGGUAGUCCUAGCUGUAAACGAUGAGUGCUGGGUGUGGCGGGUAUUAACCCCUGCUGUGCCGAAGCUAACGCAUUAAGCACUCCGCCUGGGGAGUACGGUCGCAAGGCUG